rnacentral:rRNA from 1 species
ACUUGGUGUGAAUUGCAAGAAUCCCGUGAACCAUCGAGUCUUUGAACGCAAGUUGCGCCCGAAGCCGUUAGGCCGAGGGCACGUCUGCCUGGGCGUCA